rnacentral:lncRNA from 1 species
GGCAGCAGGGACACUGGGGACAUGGGGGUAAUGGGGACAUGGGACAAUGAGGAUAUGGGGGUGCUGGGGGUGUGGAGGACACUGGGACACUGGGGGCAGUGGGGACAGUGGGGACAUUAGGGGUAAUGGGGACACUGGGGCCAAGGGGGACAAUGGGGGCAAUGGGAAUAUUGGGGACGCUAGGGCCACUGGGGACAGUGGGGACACUGGGGGCAAUGGGGAAAUCGGGGACGCUGAGGUUAUUGGGGACACUGGAGGUGUUGGGGGCAUUGGGGACACUGGGGACAUUGGGGAGACCCAGGUGCCACCACCACCCAAUGGACACUGGGGACACCGAGGACACUGGGGACAUAUAAGUGCCACCACCACCCAAUGGACACUGGGGACAUUGGGGACAUUGGGGACACCUGAGUGCCACCCCCACCCAAUGGACAUCGGGGACAUUGGGGACAUUGGGGAGACCCAGGUGCCACCCCCACCCAAAGGACAUUGGGGACACCCAGGUGCCACCAUCACCCAAGGGACAUUGGGCCACCUGAGUGCCACUACCACCCAAUGGACACUGGGGACACCCAGGUGCCACCCCCACCCAAUGGACGCUGGGGACACUGGGGACACCGGGGCUGCACAGCGCCGCCCCGUAACGAGCAUUAAUUAAACUCGGGGCCUCCGUGCCCCCCCCCCCCCCCCGGUGUCACCCUGACUCUGUGUCACAAAAGCAGGACAGCAACCAACGUGCUGGGGGGACACUGAGGUCAUGGCGGGGGACACCAAGGUCAUGGGGGGGGACAGCAGCGUGGGCAUGGCUGCCGUGGGGAUGGGGAUGGCCGCCAACAUGAGCGUGGCUACCACGGUCACGGAGAUGGCCACCAAAGUGGAUGUGGCUACCGUAGUCCUGGAGUUGGCCACCAGAAUGGAUGUGGCUACCGUGGUCAUGGAGUUGGCCACCAAAGUCAUCGUGGCUCCAGAGAAGGUCACCAAUGAGGUCAUGGCUGCUGUGGUCAUGGGGAUGGCCACCAA